UACGGGUGGCUGCAGUCGAGAAUCUUCGGCAAUGGACGAAAGUCUGACCGAGCGACGCCGCGUGUAUGAUGAAGGCCUUCGGGUUGUAAAAUACUGUCGAUUAGGCGGAAGUGUAUAGGGGUUCUCCCUUAUACUUGACCUAUCAUUGGAGGAAGGACGGGCUAAGUU
rnacentral:rRNA from 1 species